rnacentral:rRNA from 1 species
AGAGUUUGAUCAUGGCUCAGGAUGAACGCUAGCGACAGGCCUAACACAUGCAAGUCGAGGGGCAGCGGAGAGGUAGCAAUACCUUUGCCGGCGACCGGCGCACGGGUGAGUAACACGUAUGCAAUCCACCGUGUAACAGGGGGAUAACCCGGAGAAAUCCGGACUAAUACCCCAUAAUAUGGGCGCUCCGCAUGGAGAGACCCAUUAAAGAGAGCAAUUUUGG